rnacentral:lncRNA from 1 species
GCGUGUUGGAGUCAUUCAUUCAAGCAAUGCAAUAUUCCUUUCAUCGCUAUCAAGAAACUCUAAUCCUUUUCUUUGCAAUGGAAGAAGUUCUACAUAUCAUCUCUUUCUCUUUCUAUUUCUACACUAACUCAACAAUUCUCCUAUCUCACGAGGUAUAUCUCUCUCUGUGUUAAUGUAAACUUAUCUAUCUUUCUGUGUUAAUGUAUAUAUCUCGCGAAGAAGUUGUACAUCAUGUAUUUCUGUUAAUGUUUCUCUUUCUAUUUGUACAGUAACUCACCAAUUCUCCUAUCUCUCUCUCUGCAUAUUACUUAAAGGAGGUAAUGUAAACCUAUAUAUAUCUUUCCUCAUUUUCACUUCAAAAAUUAUAAAUUUAAUAAAUUCUAUGUUUUAUGAGAUCAAUAUUACUAAAAUAACCUAUUAUCUAUAGUAUAUUUCCCUCCUUUUAUAAUUUACUCUUUCUCAAGCACAUACACACUUACAAAAGGUUUCUAUGAGUGAGUUUUCUCUUUUGUUGUUAAUUUGCAUCAGCUAUUUUUUAGUGAAAUUUAUUAUUAAUAUUGUUCUAUAUUGAGUCAACCGUGUCAAUUUUUAAACUUUCUUUUCCGAAUUUUAUGAAAAAUUAUUAUAUCAGAAACAAGAUCUUUAUUUGACAUUCCAUUAUCCAUUAUCAAAUCACCUCAAGAUGACUAAAAUUGUAUAAGUAAGUUUGCCAUCUUUUGUUUUCUAUAAAUAUCUCAAAACAUUUUUUUUUCUUUUCCCAUGUUCCAUUCCUAGAUUAGUUUGAGUAUAUAUCUGAGCAUAUAUAUAUAUAUUACAUUCAACAACAUCCCCAUAAGAAAAAUGCUUCAAUUUGCUUUUGUUCCAAGUAAUUUUUAGGACAAUGAGCGAGAAUAAAUUUGUCUUAUUUUUAAACAACGAUUUUAUCACUUCUCCAUCUUAAAUUAUGGUUGUUCUUUUUCAUUGUCAUUUGUCACAAUAAUUACGUGACUACUCACUAUGGCUAAAGAUACAAGUAAAAAUAAAACGGAACUUCUUUAAUUUCCAUUUUUCGUGGAAUCAAAUUCCCAUCGAUUUCAUCAUUUUCAAUGAACUUGCAUUUUUAGUUUCAACAAUUCUCCUAUACUAUGAUUAAGACAACAAAACGUAUACCCCUUAGAUUAUUUUCUUUUUGGGUAAUCAAUGAAAGAUCUAUUGAUUAUUCUUACAUCUACUUUCUGUUUUUGCAGAUUUUAAAUCCUAAUUUCUGUUUGACACCCCAAACGUUCGAGUGUCUUAUAUUGGUUGUCCUGUCAAUUCACAAUUAAAGAGGUAUGUUAAAGAAUCACUUUACUAGAAAUCUUGUUUAACAAAUACAUGGUUAUUUUCCAAAGCAUGCAUCUAUGACUAUUUUUCAAAGCUUGCAUCCAUAAAAGCAUGGUUAAAGAAGAAUGACUUAACAUAUACUUAUCAAUUGUGUAGGAGCGCUCUCCCAUAAACUCUUUUACACUUUCAAUAUUGGGAAGAGUCGUCUUAAUAUUAUUUGAGAUGGCCAUCAUCAUGAACAUUAAGUUUUUUUAUCUAUCCAAAGACUUUCUUUUUCAUAGUCGCUAGAGUCAAGUAAUAACAUGAUUUGUUCAUUCCAAUAAGAUAAAUUAUGCUCAUUAAACAUUGACAAAAUGAUACAUGAAAAUUCAUUAGAUUAGAACCAAUACUUAAUAAUGAAAUUUCACGUAAAUAUUGAGUAAUAAAAUACAUAAUUUACUCAUAAAAAUCAAACCACAAUUAACAUAUAUUGCCAUUCUCCUUUAAGUGAUACCUAACAUACCACACACAAACAUUAUGAUGCUAAUUAUAAUAUUAAUGACACUAAAAAUAUGUAUUAGUUAGAAUCAUAUACUAUUUCGGUUUAGGAGUCGAGAUUAAGUCUUCUAAUGCAAAUAAACUCUAAACUCUUAGCUUAGGUCACAAUUUGAGUCUAAUCAGCUUCUAUUUGCACACUCCGAUGUUAAAGUUAGUGUUUGUCUGAAUACUUAAGCAAUAAAUGUGUAGUAAAAAUAACCAACUACCAUAAUAUCAAACAUGUAUUUAUAAACUUUUGGAAUGGACUUUGGAUUAUUGUUGGCCCAAUUGCGGCCAAUACACUAAUUGACCUAACUUAGUGAUUAACAUAAUUAUUCUUAUUUGUUGAUCUUGUUCACGGUUCAACCGAUCGGUUUGCUGAUCAUUUUGUUGUUGGAUUGAAGGCUCUGUUAACCGCUCGAUCAAUGACUGGUCGGACGAUCAUACAGUUGCAGGCCCCUCAAGCCAGAGCAUCUCUAUCAUUUAAGAGGGGUAUAGGGGUUUGUUGUGGUCGGAUAAACAAUUAAGGAUUCUGUAAUGGAGUGAGUUCUGUCAUGUUGCCUAUUUAAGGAUAGUUACUUACGUGGACAGUUACCGUGUGGCGGUAACAAAAAUAUAACUAAUGUGGGGACACAUGUAACUUUGGAAUUCGUGCAUCCAUUUGAAACGAAAGGUUGUGUGUUGUUAAUCGUCAGAUCAAGUUGAUUUUUGAUGGCUGAGAUUCGCCUGUCAAAACUAUUUUAAAUCGAUUUGACAAAAUCUUUAUUCGCC